CGGAGGGAUCAUUACUGAGUUUACGCUCUAUAACCCUUUGUGAACAUACCUAUAACUGUUGCUUCGGCGGGUAGGGUCUCCGCGACCCUCCCGGCCUCCCGCCUCCGGGCGGGUCGGCGCCCGCCGGAGGAUAACCAAACUCUGAUUUAACGACGUUUCUUCUGAGUGGUACAAGCAAAUAAUCAAAACUUUUAACAACGGAUCUCUUGGUUCUGGCAUCGAUGAAGAACGCAGCGAAAUGCGAUAAGUAAUGUGAAUUGCAGAAUUCAGUGAAUCAUCGAAUCUUUGAACGCACAUUGCGCCCGCCAGCAUUCUGGCGGGCAUGCCUGUUCGAGCGUCAUUUCAACCCUCAAGCUCUGCUUGGUGUUGGGGCCCUACAGCUGAUGUAGGCCCUCAAAGGUAGUGGCGGACCCUCCCGGAGCCUCCUUUGCGUAGUAACUUUACGUCUCGCACUGGGAUCCGGAGGGACUCUUGCCGUAAAACCCCCCAAUUUUCCAAAGGUUGACCUCGGAUCAGGUAGGAAUACCCGCUGAACUUAAGCAUAUCA
rnacentral:rRNA from 1 species